CGCUGACGAAGAAGAGCUUGCAAGACUUUGCAAUGUGGCUUGUUGGUGCAUCCAAGAUGAUGAGACUCACAGGCCAUCAAUGGGUCAAGUAGUUCAAAUUCUUGAGGGAGUUUUGGACGUGACACUGCCUCCAAUUCCCAGAGCUCUCCAAGUAAUGGUCGAUGACCAUGAGCACGUAGUCUUCUUCACUGAAUCAUCCACAUCUCAGAGUUCCCUGUCAAAGAGCAACAAUUCAACUGCUUCAUCUCAAGCAAAGAGUACCACAUCAUCAAGAAGUUCUUAAAUCGAUGUGAAGAAAAUAUUUUAACAUUUGUGUUUAAGAAUAUAUAUUUGGUUUAUUUCACUUGUAACAACCUGUAUGCAUAUUUGGAUAGAAGCCUUGCUUCGUAGUGUAUAAUAAUAAUGCCCCCUGCCAAAGCAAUUUUAAGAAUCACAAGCCUUGUGCCUCGCUGUUCUCUCUAAUGAACUCUGAUUGAUCUAUGCUCCUCUGCAUUGACUAUUGGCUUCACCUAAUCGCUUCAAUUGGCAAAAUUAGGUAUUGAAAUGAAAGCGACUUGGAACUUGGAAGUUAUCCAGAAGAAGGGGAAAAACAGCAAAAACAAUCAAACAAACAAACAUAAACGUGACGUAGUAACAAAUAACAUGGGUCAAGAUAUAAAUCAACUGGCCAACAUUGUUCAAUAAACUUUUUCCAACAUCUAAACUUUUUCAACCGAACCUGAAUUUUCUUGAGAGUUUUUUUGAGGCAUCAUGAUUGGUAAGGAGCUUGAAGGCAAAGUUCAACAGUUUCAUGACAAAGUUACAACCAUCGAUGAAAAGGUUACGACCUUAGCCAAGCAAAAUAACGAUUUGCAGAAACUCAUGAAACAUCCUUCAGCAAUUGAGCCAGUUGCGAAAAGAAAAACAACCGACUACUGAUCAAAGACAAGUUGAUAUAUUUACUGGAGGGACCUCUGCUCCUCAAAUGGUAAUUGCUACCCAACCACCUCUUGAACCUGCCGAACGCAUUGGAAGUACUCUCAUGCAAGCUCGUAACAUAUGACUUGACUUUCUUAUUUUUCAUGGUGCCAAUCAAACGGGAUGGAUUUUUCGAUAUGAGCAAUAUCGUCGCCUUACUGGAUUAUCAGAUGCUGACUUAUUGUCCUUAGCUAUUGGCCAUCUUGAUGGUGAUACUGUACCUUGGUUUAAUUGGAUAGAGCAAACUAUGGGCGCAAUUUAAACGGGCUUUGACUACUCAAUUUGGGACAUUAGAAGAGAAUGAUGCAGUUGGCAGUCUUACCAAACUACGUCAAAUAGGGACCGUUCUUGACUAUCAACGACAAUUUGAAAAGUUGGCUAAUCAGACUAGAAAUUUAACUGAGUCUUUCUUUAUCAGUUGUUUCCUCUCUGGGUUGCGUGAAGAUAUCAAGGCUGGCGUACAACUGUUCAAACCUGUUAGUCUUGUACAAACUUUUGAACUUGCUAGGUUUAGUAAAAGACAAUUACUUUGCAAGGCAACUGUUCCCCUGUUCCUGCCAUCCAAGAUCUAGUCCCACAAUUACAGCCGACUCCUACUCCACCAACACCCUCUUUAUUAGGACUGAUUUCCUCUACCUUACCUAAUAAUGUCAAACGUUUAUCCUCAGCUGAGCAGACAGAAAGACGUUCUGAAGGGCUCUGUUUCAACUCUGAUGAGCAAUUCAAGCCUGAACAUCGUUGCAAACAAUCUCAACUAUUGCUUUUAGACGCUGCUAUACCUCUUCACAACCCUCCAAAACCGCCUGACCAUCAUUCGGAUUGGAAGAUCUCGAUUAUUGAGACUGGGUAAAAGGCUUUCAGACAAGCCUGUUUGAAGGGGCAGGGAAUGUUAGGACCCUAAUAAUUUAUUUUAUUACUUGUUUUAAUUUUUUUUCCUAUUAAUACUAGGUUUUCUUAUUUCAAUUAUGAAUUAAUGCUCUUAUUAAAUUACAAUUAGAACCGUCUUGAACUACUAUAAAUAAGUGGUUCUUAUUAUAUUUUUGAAGGAGCAACAAUAAAAUUAAUUCUAAUCUCAGUUAAUUCUUCUCUCUUCCCUCUGAAUUCUUAAAUUCUUCAUUUAUUUCUCCCUUAAUUCUCUAACCAAAACCUCAUAAUCCUACCAGUAACGGACUGCAUUACGUUCGAGAAGACGAUUUACACACACACAAGAUAAUAAAGGCAUUUAAAUCACCUAAUUAAGUUGUAUAGGGAUAAAUAAUUAAAUUACAAAAAGCUCGACAUAUACUGAAAAAUAAAAAAGAAAUUGAACAAAGUCAUAAAUUUAUUGACAUCUAAAUUCUGAAAAUUGGUGUGUGUCUUCAGUAGGGAAAGUUAUCAUUUACAUACGGUUAUUUUUAUUGAUAUUUAAUACCUCUAUUUUAUGUUCAAUUGGAAGGAAUUCUAGGCUGUUCAGUUUUCUACUUACGGUAUUAUCACGAUCGUUGUUAUUGAGAAAAUUGUGGCAAUUUUUUUGAUUGAUAAUGAUGAUUUUAGUACGUGGCAGGCUCGGUGAUGCUGUUAUUUCGCGGAGCAUUUGGAUGCCCGCUCUAUACUGGUGAUUUUCGCUGGGAAGCAAGUAAUCAGAGGGCCGAGAUAGGAAGGAACACGCUCGUCAAAGCUUUAAAAGAUGAUGUAGUCGACAUUCUUUAUUUGGAUAACACAUAUUGCAGUCCAUCAUAUGCUUUCUUGUUUGAGAACUUUAUAUAUCCAAACUGAUAUAUGAUAGCAGGUACACUUUUUAUAUUUUUCCUUUCUUGUUUGAGAACUUUCAGUUUCACUCCAGAAUUAUCUACUGAAUUAAAGAUUAAAAUGGGAGAUGAAAGAAAUAGUCCAGGUACUGAUUUGUAGUGUUAGUUAUCUGGAUGAAAACAGAUUGUUGACAUAAUUGCCUCCCAUCCAGAUCAUGACAUCAUCAUUGGGAUUGACUCACUUGGAAAAGAAAAACUUUUAUUUCACAUAUCGCAUAAGCUCAAUAUAAAGGUUUGCUCACCCUUUUAAUAUCGGAAAACCUUUUCUUACAUAACGAUCAUCACGAUGGUCUCUCCAAGGGGGAUGAAAUCGAUAGCAUAUAUACAGCAAAUUGACAUGUUAUCUAAUUUUUGGAUCACUUGUAGAUGAUUUAGAAGGAUUUUGAUAGUUUUUAUUCUUCUAACAUCUAAAAUAUGUUUUACUUUUUAGAAACUGGGCGGGUUAGAUUGUCAUUUGGUGGAUUUAAUUGUGGCCAAAUUCAUACAUGAAAUGUAUUGUCACACAUGUAUUAUUGGAUGCAUCCAAUUGUAUGUUCUUCCUCUUCAUGUGCCAUGAGAACUUAAAACUGCCCUCUUCAUCUCUUGCAAAAUGUUGUUUAGUCACAAGCAAGUGGAAUAAAAUUUUUGCAUUCAUUUCCAAAGCAGAUAUUUACUCUGUGUUUCUUGUUUCACAUUUCUUUUUUUUUUUAUAGAUUUGGGUGUGGCCAGAACGCCUGCAAACCAUGCAUCUGCUUGGCUUCCAUGACACAUUCACAACCAAAACUUCUCUUGCUAGAGUGCGAGCUGUUCCACGGUAUAGUUUUAGCAUUGAUACUUUAGAGAAUUUAAAUACAAUGCACCAAACCAUUGGAAUUAUGCCAUCUGGUCUUCCUUGGGUGGUUAAGCCUCUUAAAGGAGGUCCUGGUUCUCUUUUUGCUUCUUACCAAAGCAAAUGGAGAGCAACGGGUUGAACUCAGACUGAGAAACUAAAAGAAGCUUUGGGAUCAGUGGACAGGUUUCGUAAGUACAUAUAUUCAGUUCCAUAUUCUGAUCAGUCCUGCUUUGCAGGGAUAGAGGAAUUUUUAAACCGUGCCCAGCCAUCGAAUAUCAGAGGCAUCGUGUCUUCAUCGUCCUGUUAUGUUGACCCUCUUUACUACUUUGGCCACCUUUGCAGAGCAAAUCAACCAUCACUGAGGUAUAAGCAGCAACAGAGAGUGCAGCACAAAACAGUUGUAGCCGCCCAAAUGAAAUUCAUUGUUGAAAGUGGUAGAUCCACUAAGGUAGAUAGGAAACGAAGGACUGCGGAAGUAGGUAUUUUAGGAGUUCGCAUGAGUAAGGUGGAUGCCCUUAGGCGGGCCCGACGAGGUGCGAAGCUUGCUCGAAGUGAGAGUUCUGAUUAAUUAGUGUCAAAUAUCAAUAUCAGGUAAGCUUGAAAUUCUUGCGAGUAAUGUUGCCUGUAUCAGUUUGAAUUCAGAGUCUAUUGUAUGGUUGAAGAAUACAUAUGGUGGUGUAGGGUGUAAGAAAAAUAAUCUUUUAUUUAUUUAUUUAUUUAUCUUGGAUGUCUAAAGCGACGGCCUAUUAGUGCUCAUUAAAGAAAAUGGUUGUGCGAAAGCACUUCGUCUGGAUCAAUCAUUUGAUUGUUUACGCGGGAUAGUUAUAGCGACUUUUCAAACUCGUGGCCUUUAAACACAUUAUAGUUUGCAAUCGUGGUCUUUACUCUUUACUUGAUUUGCAAUGAGGUAAAGAAGUCAAAUGACGGACCAAGAUAUUAGUUGAAGAAGCCAUACUACGGAUACGUCGCACGAGGUAUAUGUAAUCCCACGACACCUGGCAAGCGGACCGAAUCCAUGCGACUAUAGUAGCAGAGUCCGAUUCUACCUGCAAUAUAGAAUGGCCGAGGUGAGCUGCAAGCUCUAAGCUCUCAUGAACAGCCAUAAGCUCUAUGUAAAGGAUCGGACGAUAACCUAGGAAUGAUCCAAAAGUGCCUAAGAGCUCUCCCCAAGAGUCACGUAAAAUGCCCCCUGAAGCAGCCAUCCCUGGGUUUCCCCUAGAGCACCCAUCCACUGUCAACUUCACCACCCCCGGAGGUGGUCGAAUCCGAGAAAUCAGCCGAAGUGGUCUCCUAUGCCGUGUAACAACACGCCAUCCGUCCACUAAUCUACUAUCCAGGACGCCGCGCAGUUGGGAUGUUUUAAAACCGAAAGCAAAGCUGGCCAGCUUAAGAUCUGAAACUACUCGAAAAAUGACCGCAUCUACAAAAAAUGCCAUUGAAUCAAAUCUGUAAGCAUUUCGGGCCUUCCACACGUGCCAGAGGAUGAAACAAGGAAGUAGAACUCAAAUAUGGUUUCGGGAAGGAGCACAGCGCCUCCAGUGGCGAAGCAGCGCAUGAGGGGAGCGUUAUCUUUACUUGAUUUGCAAUAAGGUAAAGAAGUCAAUUGGGUAAUUUUUUUCUGUGAGAGUGAAUUGCGGCAAACGUGAGCAAAUUUUGCAUCAUUGUGCAUUUUGUUGUAGAAUGAGGAGAGUCAAUUUUCCUGACUAUCUAGACGAGUCUUUAGUUGAAUCUCUCCAUGGCCAUAAGUGGCCGGCAUAGACCAAAUCCUGAAACUGGUCAUAGUCCAAUAUGCAGACCACUCUGACUAUGGUCAAGACACUGGAAAAUGGUGAACGUUAGCUAAGUUUUGAAAGUUACCAAAAUUUAAUAAUAUCAUGUUUCUGAUUUCUAAUCAUGUUUUUUAUUUUGAAGAUUUCAGUUUUGACAAUUUGACUAAAUAAAUAUGCGGGUUAAAAUUUUCAUGAUCUAAAAAAAUGUAACGAGAACUAAUAAAAUUUAUUAUUUUAUUACGGUUUAUAUCAUUUGAAAUGUUGAUUCAAUAUAAAUGAUAUGUCCGGCCUUGUGGUGGCUGGUGGGUGCAAUUUGAGAUGGUAAAAUUUUUUUAUUUUGAAGACAAGAUGUGAAUCCCAUUUAAUAUUAUUAUUAAAUUAAGCAGUAUAAAGAAGUUAAGCAACCCAAAACCAUAAAGAAGUCAAACAGGCUAGAAGCCGUAAAGAAGUCUAGAAGCCAUAAAGAAACCGAAUAUCAUAAACUAAAGAAAAGAUAAAAUAUAGAGUAAUAACAGCAGCAAAAAAACAGAGAACAGUAGCGCCACAACAGAUCUAAUACUUGUCCGUUUGUAAUCAUAUGUUUGCUGUUGUUCUUUGUUUAUUGCAGCUGCUAUUACUCUCAUUUUAGCUUUUCCUUAGCUUAUGAUCUUCGGUUUCUAUAUGGCUUCUUGGCUGCUUAACUUCUUUACGGCUUCCAGGCCGCUUGACCUCUUAACGUCUCCUAAGUGUUUGACUUCUUUAUGGUUUACCCCAAAAUGACCGAAGUGUUCCACAUUUAUGUAUUUUAAAGAGGUGCAACCUCAAGAUUGUAAUUUGUAAAGGGCAUAAUUGUCAGUUCAAUUAGCUUAGUUGACUUGGGGAAGGACUAUAACAUCGUUCUUCUUCUCUAUGUCGGUCUGUCUAGCUGUUGUCUUUCUCUUAUGAGCAAUAAAACAAUACAUGAUAUGUAAAUUAUUUUUCACUCAAGUAUCUAUCUUGAUAGCACAGAAUUUGUUGUUGUUGCAGCAGCCAUGGCAAUCAUCAAGAACAAUUCAUGGUUGAUGCUUUUUGUUCUUUUUACGUGCUUUUCACUCAAAUCCCAUGUCUCCUUCGGAGCUGACACCGUUUCUGCAAACCAAUCUCUCUCUGGCGAUCAAACGAUCGUUCAAGGCGGAUGUACGGUACAGCAGUUCCUUCACGAGAAGUUGCAGCUCAGCAGGUUCUCUUCGGUUUUAAGAAUCUCAGAUGGUAACUUAGUUCUUUUUAAUGAGUCCCAACUACCCAUUUGGUCCACAAAUUUGACCGCUACCAGCAGACGUUCUGUGGAAGCAGUUCUUUUAGAUGAAGGAAAUCUUGUUUUGAGAGAUUUGUCAAAUAAUUUGUCAAAGCCUUUAUGGCAAAGUUUUGAUCAUCCAGCUCAUACUUGGAUUCCCGGUAUGAAGCUGACGUUCAACAAGAGAAACAACGUCAGUCAACUUAUCACUUCAUGGAAGAAUAAAGAAAAUCCUGCACCGGGUCUCUUCUCCCUUGAGCGAGCACCAGAUGGAUCAAAUCAAUAUGUUAUGUUGUGGAAUAGGUCUGAGCAGUACUGGUCAAGUGGACCUUGGGAUGAGAAUGCAAAAAUUUUCAGCAUGGUCCCUGAAAUGAAUCAAAACUAUAUCUACAAUUUCAGCUAUGUGUCGAAUGAAAACGAGAGCUAUUUCACCAACAAUGUGAAAGAUAGCACUUACACAUCUCGAUUCAUUAUGGAUGUUUCAGGACAGGUUAAGCAGAUGAAUUGGUUGCCUACCAACUCUUGGUUUCUGUUUUGGUCCCAACCAAGACAGCAAUGCGAGGUUUAUGCUCUUUGUGGUCAAUUUAGCACCUGCAAUCAGCAAACUGAGCGUUUUUGUUCUUGUUUGAAAGGUUUUCAACAAAAAUCGGUGAGUGACUGGAAUUUGGAAGAUUAUUCUGGUGGUUGUGUGAGGAAAACCCCGCUGCAGUGUGAAAAUAUUAGUCCUGCCAAUAGAAAAAGCGACCAAUUUUUCCAGUACAGUAACAUGAAAUUGCCUAAACAUCCACAAUCUGUGGCAGUAGGGGGUAUCAGGGAAUGUGAAACACACUGCUUGAAUAACUGCUCUUGCACUGCUUAUGCUUACAAAGACAACGCUUGCUCGAUUUGGGUAGGAAGUUUCGUGGGUCUGCAACAGCUACAAGGAGGUGGAGAUAUCAUUUAUAUCAAGCUUGCAGCUUCUGAGUUCGAGAGUCCCAAGAACAAGAAGGGAGUAGUCAUUGGCGGUGUUGUGGGCUCAGUGGCUGUCGUAGCUCUUAUUGGCCUGAUCAUGCUUGUAUACUUGGGAAGGAGAAAGACAGCAACUGUAACAACCAAAACUGUGGAGGGUUCUUUGGUGGCAUUUGCAUGCAAGGAUUUGCAAACUGCCACAAAGAAUUUCUCUAAAAAGCUGGGGGGAGGAGGUUUUGGUUCAGUUUUCAAAGGGGUGUUUCCGAAUUCAAGUCUCAUAGCUGUGAAGAAGCUUGAAAGCUUGAGCCAAGGAGAGAAGCAAUUUCGGACUGAAGUCAGAACCAUAGGGAAUAUCCAACAUGUCAAUCUGGUUCGGCUUCUGGGUUUCUGCUCUGAAGGUACUAGUAGGUUGUUGGUCUACGAUUUCAUGCCAAACGGUUCUUUAGACUCUCAUCUCUUCACUGAAAAAGAUUCAGACUUUCUUGAUUGGAAGACAAGAUACCAAAUUGCACUGGGGACAGCCAGAGGUUUGGCUUAUCUCCAUGAGAAGUGCAGAGACUGCAUCAUACACUGUGACAUAAAGCCAGAGAACAUUCUGUUAGACGCUGAAUUUUGUCCCAAAGUGUCGGAUUUUGGGCUGGCAAAGCUUGUUGGGAGGGAGUUCAGCCGUGUCCUAACAACCAUGAGAGGAACAAGAGGUUACCUUGCACCUGAAUGGAUUUCAGGAGUGGCCAUAACAGCCAAAGCGGAUGUCUACAGCUAUGGAAUGAUGCUGUAUGAAUUUGUAUCAGGAAGGAGGAACUCCCAGGAAUCUGAAGAUGGUAAAGUGAAGUUCUUCCCAUCUUGGGCUGCUAAACAAAUAGUUGAAGGCAGCAAUCUCAUUAGCCUAUUAGACCCAAGACUGGAGGGCAACGCUGACGAAGUAGAGCUUGCAAGACUUUGCAAAGUGGCUUGUUGGUGCAUCCAAGAUGAUGAGACUCACAGGCCAUCAAUGGGUCAAGUAGUUCAAAUUCUUGAGGGAGUUUUGGACGUGACACUGCCUCCAAUUCCCAGAGCUCUCCAAGUAAUGGUCGAUGACCAUGAGCACGUAGUCUUCUUCACUGAAUCAUCCACAUCUCAGAGUUCCCUGUCAAAGAGCAACAAUUCAACUGCUUCAUCUCAAGCAAAGAGUACCACAUCAUCAAGAAGUUCUUAAAUCGAUGUGAAGAAAAUAUUUUAACAUUUGUGUUUAAGAAUAUAUAUUUGGUUUAUUUCACUUGUAACAACCUGUAUGCAUAUUUGGAUAGAAGCCUUGCUUCGUAGUGUGUAUAAUAAUAAUGGAACCUGCCAAAGCAAUUUUAAGAAUUACAAGCCUUGUGCCUCGCUGUUCUCUCUAAUGAACUCUGAUUGAUCUAUGCUCCUCUGCAUUGACUAUUGGCUUCACCUAAUCGCUUCAAUUGGCAAAAUUAGGUAUUGAAAUAAAAGUGACUUGGAACUUGGAUGUUAUCCCGAAGAAGGGGAAAAACAGAAAAACAAUCAAACAAAUAAACAUAAACGUGACGUUGUAACAAAUAAUGUUUGGUAGUAUAUGAUAUGCAUACAUAAAUCGAAAACCAUAAAAUGUAAAAUAACUAGGUUAAGUGUGGUUAACUAAUCGAGACUUAAGUCUUAAUUUCUCUUAUAAAAACUUAAGUGUUGUAUCUAAGUCCGUCGUCAAUUUAAUACUUUUAAUAUAAGUUAUUAUUUAGAAAAGAAGGUGUGUUCAAUGAAUGACUUAUUUAUGAGUGCUAAUUAGAUUAAAAUUUAGAAUUUAGGAUAAAUUUACAGAAUCAUAAAUUAAUUUAUAAUAUUAUGAAAAUUAAUUUAUGACAUCAUAAAUUUGUCCCAAAUUUUGAAUUCAAACUUUAAUUUCAGAUUGAAAAAUUUUUCUCUAUCCAUAAAGUGUUUGGUUAAGGGGAAAAAAAUCAAAAGAAAAAAAAUCUAGGUGGGUGGUAUGACGUGGGGUUUACGUUUAAUGCGUAAAACAUGAUUUUAAUGUUUAUUUCUCACGAGGCAACAUUGAGAAUAUCGGAGUUGAGUUUAACACAAUUAAUCCUUAGCAAAUAUAUUAAAGCGAUUACACUUCCUGUCUCUCGUCUCAUGCAUGUUACUGCUGAUUGCCUUUGAUAUUUUAAACCAAUUUUGAUUCACCAAAUAAUCAAUCGAUUAAUUUAUUUGCUCUAAAUUCUCAUAACUUAUCCACUACAGAUUUCCAAUGCGGACUCAAGUAUGAAGUUUUUCUAGCCUCAUAUUUGCAUUCGUAAUUAUCACGUCACAUGUACAAGAGAAUGAUUUGAUAUACAAUUGAACAGAUAUUAAUGAAUCUAGAGUAGUUUCAAAUUAGUCAUCGACAUAAUUGAUGCUAAAAUAAUUUCUAAGAGACAAAUUUUAAUCUCAAAUCCCCCAAAAAAAAGAGUAGAUAAUUAAAAAAAAAAAAGCACAAACAAUUGCAAAAAGCUAUUUUUUAUAGUUUCACUUCAGUUCACAGCCUCCUCAUAUCGAGAAACAGCUUCUGAUCAAGCUCAAACUCUUGAAACAUAUUAUUUGUUACAUAUUUUUCAUGAACCAACUGGCCAACAUUGUUGAACUGUCGAUAUUUUUAUUGACUUCAAU
rnacentral:lncRNA from 1 species